rnacentral:rRNA from 1 species
UUAAUUCAAACUAAGGAGCCUUUGCAUUUCCUAUUGGUUUAUCGACUCUUCAAACUCGCAUUGAUAUUGCCAGUAGUGACAACAUCAGUUGAAAGGGUUUUCUCAGCCAUGAAUAUAAUAAAGACAGAUUUGAGAAACAAGAUAGGUGAUGAAUGGUUGAAUGAUAUGAUGGUUUGCUAUGUUGAGCGAGAUAUAUUUGCUGGGAUUGAAGACAAGAAGAUUAUCAAACCUUUUCAUCGCCUAAGGGAUCGUAGAGGCCAUCUUUCAAAUCAUGCAUGUAUAACCACAACGUAA